rnacentral:rRNA from 1 species
GACGAACGCUGGCGGCGUGCCUAAUACAUGCAAGUCGAACGCAGUGGGGACGGGAGAUUAACACGUGGGUAACCUCCCAUCAGAGGGGAUAACACUUGGCAACAGGUGCUAAACCCAUACUGAUGGAUGGACCCGCGGUGCAUUAGCGAGUUGGGGAGGUCACGGCUCACAAAGGCCACGAUGCAUAGCCGGCCUGAGAGGGGGAUCGGCCACACUGGGACUGAGACACGGCCCAGACGCCUACGGGAGGCAGCAGUAGGGAAUCUUGGGAAAUGGACGAAAGUCUGACCGAGCAACCCCGCGUGAGUGAAGAAGGUUUUCGGAUCGUAAAACUCUGUUGUUAGAGAAGCGGUAUCUAACCAGAAAGCCACGGCUAACUACGUGCCAGCAGCCGCGGUAAUUC